rnacentral:tRNA from 1 species
AAAAUCCGCCGACUUUAAAAAUCGUGAGGGUUCAAGUCCCUCUAUCCCC